rnacentral:tRNA from 7 species
ACUUUCAAAGGAUAAUAGUAAUCCAAUGGUCUUAGGAACCAAUCAUCUUGGUGCAAAUCCAAGUGAAAGUA